UGUGAAAUUAAUGUUCCAGUAGCAUAAAGACAGUAUUUGAUUUCCCAGAUAUAAUUGACCAUGGGUCAUUAUGUUCAUGGAGCAUCUUAAAGAACUAGUGUUCCAGGAAGCAAACAUUGAUAAUGUCAUGUUAGAGAAGCCUGUCUUUGUUACUGAAGAGCAGAUGAGUAUUACAAUUCCAAAGGAAACAGUAUUAAUGGGUCUGUGUGGAAAUCAGUUCUUAUUUUCUAAACAAUAUUGCUGAUUUCUAGCUAUUUGAGUAAUUUAUAACCUAAUAGAAGAAAAGAAUACUUAAGGAAAAAUGAUUCAUCAGCAUGAAUUUCAAUUAAAAUAACACAGAACUAAUUUUUCCCUUCUGUCCCAGUACAAUUUCAGGGAAUGAGAAGUAAGCAAAUGGAAACCAAGUUAAACUAGACCAUAAAUAGUAAAAUAUGAAGAAAAAAAUUGACAAAUGGCCAGGAAACCAAAUAAAUAAACAGGUUGAUAUUUUAUUUUUCAUUCUUUUGAAAAUGAUAUAGCAUUCUAGAAUAAUUGAAAAAUUUUGAUCUUGAAUAAAAGACUUCAGGAAGGUUAUUUCUUGGAGAACUUCAAUGAAGGGAAAAGGGGGAAAGCAGCCUACAAAAAAAAUUUAGUAUGUGUUGAAAAUGGUUGUAAGUAGAUCUUUGGUCCCAACAGCACAGCUACUAAACUAUGAUAUACGCCAGACCCAAGAUAUUAAAAAAAAAGCCAUAAUGCAACAAAAGUAAUGAUUGGCAAAACCGAUAAUUCAUUAAAAAUCCAUCAGGCCUCCUAAAGGCCAACUUGGUCAUACCUAUACAAUAAAGAAGUGCUGAAACUCCAAUCAGAGUUACACACAAUAUGUAAGUCAAAUAUCUCUUACCAAAUGUUCCAAUAGAUUUUCUUUUUGUAUUAAAUUCGAAUACUUAGAGUACUGGGUUAUGUUCAAUAAUAGGAAGUCACAGCUAAAAGUCGACAAAGAGAAUAACUGAUUGGAAGAACUUUUUCGAUAACAGGAAAUAUGGACAGUUACCUAGGAACUAGGAAAAUAAAAUGACCUGAUGAACUAGCCAUAUCAUUCAUUCAUUAAUCCAUCCAACAAACAUGGAUUAAGAACCUAUAAUGUGCCAAGUGAUGUACAAAGUCCUGUGUGAGGGACAAAGCAGUUCAAAUUGCUCAGCGGAA
rnacentral:lncRNA from 1 species